UCUUUAGUUGAAGAGAACUGGAAAGUUCCGUCGUAGAAGGUAAUAACCCUGUAGGCGAAAAGGAAAGAAAAGUAGAUCUACUCCAGAGUACCACGAGACACGUGAAACCUUGUGGGAAGCUGGGAGGCCCAUCUCCCAAGGCUAAAUACUACCUAGUGACCGAUAGUGAAGCAGUACCGUGAGGGAAAGGUGAAAAGAACCCCGGAAGGGGAGUGAAAUAGAAUCUGAAACCGUGUGCCUACAAUCGGUCGGAGCACAUUAAAGUGUGACGGCGUACUUUUUGUAGAACGGGCCAGCGAGUUACGAUAUAUAGCAAGGUUAAGCACUUAUGGUGUGGAGCCGAAGGGAAACCGAGUCUGAAUAGGGCAACUAGUUGUAUAUUGUAGACCCGAAACCGGGUGACCUAUCCAUGGCCAGGAUGAAGCGGAAGUAAAAUUCCGUGGAGGUCCGAACCACGUUGGUGUUGAAAAACCAUGGGAUGAGCUGUGGAUAGCGGAGAAAUUCCAAUCGAACUCGGAGAUAGCUGGUUCUCCUCGAAAUAGCUUUAGGGCUAGCGUCGGGUAAUUGAGUAGUGGAGGUAGAGCACUGAAUGGGCUAGGGGCUGACAACAGUUACUGAACCCUAUCAAACUCCGAAUGCCAUAUACUUGUACCCCGGCAGUCAGACUACGAAUGAUAAGAUCCGUGGUCAAAAGG
rnacentral:rRNA from 1 species